rnacentral:rRNA from 1 species
CGCUAUCACUCCUACGGGGAGGCAGCAGUAGGGAAUCUUCCACAAUGGACGAAAGUCUGAUGGAGCAACGCCGCGUGAGUGAAGAAGGGUUUCGGCUCGUAAAAACUCUGUUGUUUAAAGAAGAACAUAUCUGAGAGUAACUGUUCAGGUAUUGACGGUAUUUAACCAGAAAGCCACGGCUAACUACGUGCCAGCAGCCGCGGUAAUACGUAGGUGGCAAGCGUUGUCCGGAUUUAUUGGGCGUAAAGCGAGCGCAGGCGGUUUUUAAGUUCUGAUGUGAAAGCCUUCGGCUCAACCGAAGAAGUGCAUCGGAAACUGGGAAACUUGAGUGCAGAAGAGGACAGUGGAACUCCAUGUGUAGCGGUGAAAUGCGUAGAUAUAUGGAAGAACACCAGUGGCGAAGGCGGCUGUCUGGUCUGUAACUGACGCUGAGGCUCGAAAGUAUGGGUAGCAAACAGGAUUAGAUACCCUGGUAG